UACGGAGGGGGCGAGCGUUGCUCGGAAUCACUGGGCGUAAAGGGUGCGUAGGCGGGUCUUUAAGUCAGGGGUGAAAUCCUGGAGCUCAACUCCAGAACUGCCUUUGAUACUGAGGAUCUUGAGUCCGGGAGAGGUGAGUGGAACUGCGAGUGUAGAGGUGAAAUUCGUAGAUAUUCGCAAGAACACCAGUGGCGAAGGCGGCUCACUGGCCCGGUACUGACGCUGAGGCACGAAAGCGUGGGGAGCAAACAGG
rnacentral:rRNA from 1 species